AUUGAACGCUGGCGGCAGGCCUAACACAUGCAAGUCGAGCGGUAGAGAGGUGCUUGCAUCUCUUGAGAGCGGCGGACGGGUGAGUAAUGCCUAGGAAUCUGCCUGUGUGGGGGAUAGCGUAGCGAAAGCUACGCUAAUACCGCAUACGAUCUAUGGAUGAAAGCGGGGGAUCGCAAGACCUCGCGCGAUUGGAGCGGCCGAUAUCAGAUUAGGUAGUUGGUGAGGUAAAGGCUCACCAAGCCGACGAUCUGUAGCUGGUCUGAGAGGACGACCAGCCACACUGGACUGAGACACGGCCCAGACUCUACGGGAGGCAGCAGUGGGGAAUUUUGGACAAUGGGCGCAAGCCUGAUCCAGCAAUGCCGCGUGCAGGAUGAAGGCCUGGUUGUAAC
rnacentral:rRNA from 1 species